CGCAUUAAGCACCCCGCCUGAGGAGUACGGCCGCAAGGCUAAAACUUAAAGGAAUUGACGGGGACCUGCACAAGCGGUGGAGCAUGUGGUUUAAUUCGAAGAUACGCGAAAAACCUUACCAGGUCUUGACAUACCAAUGAUCGCUUUUGUAAUGAAAGCUUUUCUUCGGAACAUUGGAUACAGGUGGUGCAUGGUCGUCGUCAGCUCGUGUCGUGAGAUGUUGGGUUAAGUCCCGCAACGAGCGCAACCCUUGUUAUUAGUUGCCAGCAUUUAGUUGGGCACUCUAAUGAGACUGCCGGUGAUAAACCGGAGGAAGGUGGGGACGACGUCAGAUCAUCAUGCCCCUUAUGACCUGGGCAACACACGUGCUACAAUGGGAAGUACAACGAGUCGCAAACCGGCGACGGUAAGCUAAUCUCUUAAAACUUCUCUCAGUUCGGACUGGAGUCUGCAACUCGACUCCACGAAGGCGGAAUCGCUAGUAAUCGCGAAUCAGCAUGUCGCGGUGAAUACGUUCCCGGGUCUUGUACACACCGCCCGUCAAAUCAUGGGAGUCGGAAGUACCCAAAGUCGCUUGGCUAACUUUUAGAGGCCGGUGCCUAAGGUAAAAUCGAUGACUGGGAUUAAGUCGUAACAAGGUAGCCGUAGGAGAACCUGCGGCUGGAUCACCUCCUUUCUAAGGA
rnacentral:rRNA from 1 species